CGGGUGAGUAACGCGUGAGGAACCUGCCUCAAAGAGGGGGGAAACAGUUGGAAACGACUGCUAAUACCGCAUAAGCCCACGGCUCGGCAUCGAGCAGAGGGAAAAGGAGCAAUCCGCUUUGAGACGGCCUCGCGUCCGAUUAGCUAGUUGGUGAGGUAACGGCCCACCAAGGCGACGAUCGGUAGCCGGACUGAGAGGUUGAACGGCCACAUUGGGACUGAGACACGGCCCAG
rnacentral:rRNA from 1 species